rnacentral:rRNA from 1 species
CGCACGGGUGAGUAACACGUAUGGAACCUGCCCUAUGCAGGGGGAUAAGCGGAAGAAAUUCCGUCUAAUACCGCAUAACACCAUUUGGAGACAUCUCCAGGGGGUCAAAGGAGGCGACUCCGGCAUAGGAUGGCCAUGCGUCGCAUUAGCUAGUCGGCGGGGUAACGGCCCACCGAGGCGACGAUGCGUAGGGGUUCUGAGAGGAAGGUCCCCCACACUGGUACUGAGACGCGGACCAGACUCCUACGGGAGGCAGCAG